rnacentral:rRNA from 1 species
GGACGAACGCUGGCGGCGUGCUUAACACAUGCAAGUCGAACGGAAAGGCCCUGCUUUUGUGGGGUGCUCGAGUGGCGAACGGGUGAGUAACACGUGAGUAACCUGCCCUUGACUUUGGGAUAACUUCAGGAAACUGGGGCUAAUACCGGAUAGGAGCUCCUGCUGCAUGGUGGGGGUUGGAAAGUUUCGGCGGUUGGGGAUGGACUCGCGGCUUAUCAGCUUGUUGGUGGGGUAGUGGCUUACCAAGGCUUUGACGGGUAGCCGGCCUGAGAGGGUGACCGGCCAAAUUGGGGUGGGAGAGCGGCCCGGCUCCCUGGGGGGGGCAGGAGGGGGGAAAUUUGCACGAGGGGGGGAAGCCGAAUGGAGAACGCCCGGGGGGGGGAUGGCGGCCUUGGGGUGGAAAACCCCUUUCGCCGGGGGCGAGGGGUGAGGGAAGGUAAUGGGGAAAGAAGCACCGGCUAACUAGGU